UCCGCAGGCGGUCAAUUAAGUCAGAGGUGAAAUACCAUAGCUCAACCAUGGAACUGCCUUUGAUACUGGUUGACUUGAGUCAUAUGGAAGUAGAUAGAAUGUGUAGUGUAGCGGUGAAAUGCAUAGAUAUUACACAGAAUACCGAUUGCGAAGGCAGUCUACUACGUAUGUACUGACGCUGAGGGACGAAAGCGUGGGGAGCGAACAGGAUUAGAUACCCUGGUAGUCC
rnacentral:rRNA from 1 species